UUUCUAUUUAUUGUCCGUGGCUUUUCAGUUUUUUUAACUUAAUUUAUCUUAGACAUUUCUCUGUAUCAGUAUUUAUUAGCAAUAUCUUAUUUUUAAAAAUGACAAAUAGUGUUUUAAAUACUGUUUAAUAGUAGAAUAUUGUUUAAUAGUUCUCUACGGUUUCUUAGUAUAAUUUAUUUUGCCUUUACCCAUUUUAAGAGGUAGCUGACCAAUGGCUUUGUUAAGUUUUUUUCUCUUGAAAUAACCAUUUUGAAUUGAUUUGUUUUUCAUACUGUUUUCACAAGUUUUUGUUUUUUUUUCAUCUGAAAUCAGCUUUUGCAUUGCUGUUAGGAUGUAUUUGCCAAUGUAGUUAAUUAAAUGCAAUUGUGACAUAAAUAUUUAAAUUUAAAAGAGGAAAGAGACUAUGGCUUAUUCUUUGUAAAAUGUGCAAGGUACUCUGUCUUCUGUAUGUGAUUCUUCUAGGGCCUGCUUGUUCAACAAGUUAAUGACCCUUUUCACAGAGUUGUUUUUGAGCACGUUCACUCUGGCAGUUUCAGCUGGGGCUGUUUUGCUUUUACCCUUUUCAAUAAUCAGCAAUGAAAUCCUGCUUUCUUUUCCUCAAAACUACUAUAUUCAAUGGCUAAAUGGCUCCCUGAUUCAUGGUUAGUAUAUAUUGCUUAAUAUCACAAUGAAUGUUUUCAUUUUUUACUGCACUGUAUUUUUAGAUUUGCCUUUUCUUAAUUUCCUUCAUAAUUUGCAUCUUCCUCCAAUAAACCAUGAGUCCUUC